GGAGAUUAAGCGUGUUGUGAAAUGUAGAUGCUCAACCUCUGCACUGCAGCGCGAACUGGUUUCCUUGAGUACGCACAAAGUGGGCGGAAUUCGUGGUGUAGCGGUGAAAUGCUUAGAUAUCACGAAGAACUCCGAUUGCGAAGGCAGCUCACUGGAGCGCAACUGACGCUGAAGCUCGAAAGUGCGGGUAUCGAACAGGAUUAGAUACCCUGGUAGUCCGCACGGUAAACGAUGGAUGCCCGCUGUUGGUCUGAAUAGGUCAGCGGCCAAGCGAAAGCAUUAAGCAUCCCACCUGGGGAGUACGCCGGCAACGGUGAAACUCAAAGGAAUUGACGGGGGCCCGCACAAGCGGAGGAACAUGUGGUUUAAUUCGAUGAUACGCGAGGAACCUUACCCGGGCUUGAAUUGCAGAGGAAGGAUUUGGAGACAAUGACGCCCUUCGGGGUCUCUGUGAAGGUGCUGCAUGGUUGUCGUCAGCUCGUGCCGUGAGGUGUCGGCUUAAGUGCCAUAACGAGCGCAACCCCUCUCCUUAGUUGCCAUCAGGUUAAGCUGGGCACUCUGGGGACACUGCCACCGUAAGGUGUGAGGAAGGUGGGGAUGACGUCAAAUCAGCACGGCCCUUACGUCCGGGGCUACACACGUGUUACAAUGGCAGGUACAGAGAGAUGGUGUUCUGCAAAGCGCAUCUAAUCCUUAAAGCCUGUCUCAGUUCGGACUGGGGUCUGCAACCCGACCCCACGAAGCUGGAUUCGCUAGUAAUCGCGCAUCAGCCAUGGCGCGGUGAAUACGUUCCCGGGCCUUGUACACACCGCCCGUCAAGCCAUGAAAGCCGGGGGCGCCUAAAGUCCGUGACCGUAAGGAGCGGCCUAGGGCGAAACUGGUAAUUGGGGCUAAGUCGUAACAAGGUAGCCGUACCGGAAGGUGCGGCUG
rnacentral:rRNA from 1 species